CAGCCGCCGCGGGAAUACGAAGGGUGCAAGCGUUGAUCGGAAUUACUGGGCGUAAAGCGUGCGUAGGCGGUGAGUUAAGUCUGCUGUGAAAUCCCCGGGCUCAACCUGGGAACUGCAUUUGUGACUGGCAAGCUAGAGUGUGGCAGAGGGGGGUGGAAUUCCGCGUGUAGCAGUGAAAUGCGUAGAUAUGCGGAGGAACACCGAUGGCGAAGGCAGCCCCCUGGGCCAACACUGACGCUCAUGCACGAAAGCGUGGGGAGCAAACAGGAUUAGAUACCCCGGUAGUCCCUGUCUCUUAUAC
rnacentral:rRNA from 1 species